rnacentral:rRNA from 1 species
CCCUUAGAUGUUCUGGGCUGCACGCGCGCUACACUGAAGCUAUCAACACGUUUUCCCUCCCUGAGAAGGGCGGGUAACCUUUUGAAUCAGCUUCGUGGUAGGGAUCGGGGCUUGCAAUUGUUCCCCGUGAACCAGGAAUUCCUAGUAGACGCAAGUCAUAAGCUCGCAUCGAUUAAGUCCCUGCCCUUUGUACACACCGCCCGUCGCUACUACCGAUUGAACGUUUUAGUGAGGCAUUUGGACCGACGCAUCUCAGUUUAACCGCUGGUUUGUGUUGGAAAGACUUCCAAACUUGAGCGUUUAGAGGAAGUAAAAGUCGUAACA